GAUCUCUCCUCUUUUGGCCACUCAUCGACCAGUCACCCGACCCGACCGUAGUUAGCAUGAACGGAGGAGGCGAUCGGCAUCAUCACAAGGAUGCCAUUGUCAUGCACGCCGCCGGCAAGGUGCCCAAGUGCAAGGCUUCCUUCUUCCUCUACGGCCUCCUCCUCUACUUUCUCCUGCCACUGCUCGCCCUGUACGUGGUCGCCCUCGCCGUGUCGCCGUUCUACUCGGGUGGCUCGUGCACGCCGGAGAGCCGUGCCAAUGCCGUCUUCGCACGUCUCGCGGCGGGCGCCGAGGAUGAUCACAAGGAGCACAACUCCUCGUCGGUGGCGGUGGCGCGGCGGCGCAGACCGAUGCCGUCCGCGGACGAGGCGCCGACCGGGCUGCGCCACAUUGUGUUCGGCAUUGGCGCGUCGUCGGCGCUCUGGAAGAGACGGAGGGAGUACAUCAGGACAUGGUGGCGGCCGGGACAGAUGCGCGGGUUCGUGUGGCUGGACAGGCCGGUGUACGAGUUCUACUCCAGGAACGCCUCGACGGGGCUACCCGCCAUCAAGAUCAGCGGGAACACGUCCAGUUUCCCGUACACGCACGGCGCCGGCAGCCGGUCGGCGCUGCGCAUCUCCCGCAUCGUGUCGGAGAGCUUCCGGCUGGGCCUCCCCGGCGUGCGGUGGUUCGUGAUGGGCGACGACGACACGGUGUUCUUCCCGGACAACCUGGUGGACGUCCUGUCGCGGUACGACCACACGCAGCCGUACUACAUCGGGAACCCGUCGGAGAGCCACAUCCAGAACCUCAUCUUCUCGUACGGCAUGGCCUUCGGCGGCGGCGGGUUCGCCGUCAGCCGCGCGCUGGCCGCGCAGCUGGCGCGCAUGCAGGACGGGUGCAUGCACCGGUACCCGGCGCUGUACGGCAGCGACGACCGGAUCCACGCGUGCAUGGCGGAGCUGGGCGUGCCGCUGACGCGCCACCUGGGUUUCCACCAGUGCGACCUGUGGGGCGACGUGCUGGGCCUCCUGGCCGCGCACCCCGUGGCGCCGCUGGUGACGCUGCACCACCUGGACUUCCUCCAGCGGGUGUUCCCGACCACCAGGUCGCGGACGGCGGCGCUGAGGCGGCUGUUCGAGGGGCCGGCGCGGCUGGACCCGGCCGGAGUGGCGCAGCAGUCGGUGUGCUACGACGGCGACAAGCAGUGGACGGUGUCGGUGUCAUGGGGGUUCGCGGUGGUGGUGACGCGCGGGGUGCUGUCGCCGCGGGAGAUGGAGAUGCCCAUGCGCACCUUCCUCAACUGGCACCGCCGCGCCGACUACACGGCGUACGCCUUCAACACGCGCCCCGUGGCUCGCCAGCCCUGCCAGACGCCGCAGGUCUACUACAUGCGCCGCUCCCGCCUCGACCGCCGCCGCCGCAACACCACCGUCACCGAGUACGACCGCCGCCGCGCCGCGCCCGCCAAGUGCGGCUGGCGCAUCCCUGACCCCGCCGCACUGCUCGACCGCGUCGUCGUCCUCAAGAAGCCCGACCCGGACCUCUGGAAAAGGUCCCCGAGGAGGAAUUGCUGCAGGGUGGUGUCGUCGCCUGAGCAAGGGAAGGACCGGAAGAUGACGAUCGAUGUCGGCGUCUGCAGGGACGGCGAGUUCGCCAGAAUUUAGGUAAAUUGGUCAGCUCCAUUACAGUUUCCCGACACGGCAUUAUUGAUCUAAAGAUCUUCAUCUCGCGUUCCCGACACGGCUAGAAUUUGCUAGGACAACAAAAAGGCGAGGAAAGCAUCAAUAUCAAUCAGAGACUCAGUUACUGAUCGCUUCGGCUAAUGAUAGCUGCAACUUUAGAUAGAUGUUAAGAUUCAUUGCAACCUCCGGUGAGAUGUGGAACACUUGUGGGCAGUGGUGUGCUGCCUCCUGCCGCGAACUGUGUUUGCGCGGCAUCGUGUCGAGGUGUUGAGAUACGGAUUGGCACCAUCAAAGUAGCCCAUGGGCCAUCAUGUAUCAAGCAACCAAGGAGUGAGUGGGCCGUUUUUUUCCAGACCUCCAGCGUAAAAUGAGCGGUGCAGAGGAGCCCAACGUACGUCGGUGGAAUCGCGGUGGUCGUCGACUGCGCCGGCGGGGGAGCGCGGCGGUUCAUGGAGGACGCGGCAAGCAGCAAGCUGCGCCGUUGAUUGAGUAUUUGUGCACACGGACUGAAAAAACUCGAACCAUAUUUUGUGGAACAAUAAUGUAUGUCUCCUGGCAAAUCAUUGAGCUACUGCAUAGAAUAGAAACCCUAUCGAUUAGGUUCUGGGAAGUGGCAACCUACCAUACAAUAUGGUUGAAGAAGAGACCGCAAGUCUGCAAUCUGCAUCAUGCUUCGUUUUGAGCCGAACAAAUCGGCGGCCAGUGGGCGUGCGCACAGAAAGAUGUUGCUGAACCGCUCGGUGGGUACAGUGUUUUAUCACUCAACGGUGGCGGAUAUGGAAUCAAGGUUUUUUUUUAUCAUCCUUAAAAAAUAUCUUAGUACCAAAAAUUUUAAUAUAAAUUUUUGGUAU